rnacentral:rRNA from 1 species
GUUGAAAAGCUAUGGGAUGACUUGUGGAUAGGGGUGAAAGGCCAAUCAAACUUCGUGAUAGCUGGUUCUCUCCGAAAUAUAUUUAGGUAUAGCGUUGUGUCGUAACUAAAGGGGGUAGAGCACUGAAUGGGCUAGGGCAUACACCAAUGUACCAAACCCUAUCAAACUCCGAAUACCUUUAGUGUAAUCACAGCAGUCAGGCGGCGAGUGAUAAAAUCCGUCGUCAAGAGGGAAACAACCCAGACUAACAGCUAAGGUCCCCAAAUCUUACUUAAGUGGAAAACGAUGUGAAGUUACUUAAACAACCAGGAGGUUGGCUUAGAAGCAGCCAUCCUUUAAAGAAAGCGUAAUAGCUCACUGGUCUAGUGAUUUUGCGCGGAAAAUAUAACGGGGCUAAAGUAAGUACCGAAGCUUUAGACUUGCACACAACUUAGAUGAUUUAAAUUUGGAAUAUGAGAAGCUAAAUUUAUUUUUAUUUAUUUUUGCUUAUCUUUAUUCAUUUUUAUAGAGUAAAGAUAAAAACAAAAACUUCGUAAAAAUAAUAAAAUUUAGUAAAAAACAAUAAAAAUAUUCUUAGAUUAAAAGUUAAGUCGUUUAAGUUGUGUGCAAUGUGGUAGGAGAGCGUUCUAUUUGCGUCGAAGGUAUACCGACAAGGAGUGCUGGAGCGAAUAGAAGUGAGCAUGCAGGCAUGAGUAGCGAUAAUUAAUGUGAGAAUCAUUAACGCCGUAAACCCAAGGUUUCCUACGCGAUGCUCGUCAUCGUAGGGUUAGUCGGGUCCUAAGCUGAGUCCGAAAGGGGUAAGCGAUGGCAAAUAGGUUAAUAUUCCUAUACCAACAUUAGUGUGCGAUGGAAGGACGCUUAGGGCUAAGGGGGCUAGCGGAUGGAAGUGCUAGUCUAAGGUCGUAGGAGGUUAUACAGGCAAAUCCGUAUAACAAUACUCCGAGAACUGAAAGGCUUUUUGAAGUCUUCGGAUGGAAAGAAGAACCCCUGAUGCCGUCGAGCCAAGAAAAGUUUCUAAGUUUAGCUAAUGUUGCCCGUACCGUAAACCGACACAGGUGGGUGGGAUGAGUAUUCUAAGGCGCGUGGAAGAACUCUCUUUAAGGAACUCUGCAAAAUAGCACCGUAUCUUCGGUAUAAGGUGUGCCUCCCUUUGUAUUAGAAUUCACUUCGAAAGCAAAGAAGGUUACAACAAAGAGUCCCUCCCGACUGUUUACCAAAAACACAGCACUCUGCUAACUCGUAAGAGGAUGUAUAGGGUGUGACGCCUGCCCGGUGCUCGAAGGUUAAUUGAUGGGGUUAGCAUUAGCGAAGCUCUUGAUCGAAGCCCGAGUAAACGGCGGCCGUAACUAUAACGGUCCUAAGGUAGCGAAAUUCCUUGUCGGUUAAAUACCGACCUGCAUGAAUGGCGUAACGAGAUGGGAGCUGUCUCAAAGAGGGAUCCAGUGAAAUUGUAGUGGAGGUGAAAAUUCCUCCUACCCGCGGCAAGACGGAAAGACCCCGUGGACCUUUACUACAGCUUGACACUGCUAUUUGGAUAAGAAUGUGCAGGAUAGGUGGGAGGCUUUGAGUAUAUGACGCCAGUUGUAUAUGAGCCAUUGUUGAGAUACCACUCUUUCUUAUUUGGGUAGCUAACCAGCUUGAGUUAUCCUCAAGUGGGACAAUGUCUGGUGGGUAGUUUGACUGGGGCGGUCGCCUCCCAAAUAAUAACGGAGGCUUACAAAGGUUGGCUCAUAGCGGUUGGAAAUCGCUAGUAGAGUAUAAAGGUAUAAGCCAGCUUAACUGCAAGACAUACAAGUCAAGCAGAGACGAAAGUCGGUCUUAGUGAUCCGGUGGUUCUGUGUGGAAGGGCCAUCGCUCAAAGGAUAAAAGGUACCCCGGGGAUAACAGGCUGAUCUCCCCCAAGAGCUCACAUCGACGGGGAGGUUUGGCACCUCGAUGUCGGCUCAUCGCAUCCUGGGGCUGGAGCAGGUCCCAAGGGUAUGGCUGUUCGCCAUUUAAAGCGGUACGCGAGCUGGGUUCAGAACGUCGUGAGACAGUUCGGUCCCUAUCUGCCGUGGGCGUAAGAAGAUUGAAGAGAUUUGACCCUAGUACGAGAGGACCGGGUUGAACAAACCACUGGUGUAGCUGUUGUUCUGCCAAGAGCAUCGCAGCGUAGCUAAGUUUGGAAAGGAUAAACGCUGAAAGCAUCUAAGCGUGAAGCCAACUCUAAGAUGAAUCUUCUCUAAGCUCUCUAGAAGACUACUAGUUUGAUAGGCUGGGUGUGUAAUGGAUGAAAGUCCUUUAGCUGACCAGUACUAAUAGAGCGUUUGGCUUAUCUUAUAAAUA